CAGCAGCCGCGGUAAUACGAAGGGGGCUAGCGUUGCUCGGAAUGACUGGGCGUAAAGGGCGCGUAGGCGGUUUAUACAGUCAGAUGUGAAAUUCCUGGGCUCAACCUGGGGACUGCAUUUGAUACGUAUGGACUUGAGUGGAGGAGAGGGUCGUGGAAUUUCCAGUGUAGAGGUGAAAUUCGUAGAUAUUGGAAAGAACACCGGUGGCGAAGGCGGCGACCUGGCCUUUAACUGACGCUGAGGCGCGAAAGCGUGGGGAGCAAACAGGAUUAGAUACCCGCGUAGUCCCUGUCUCUUAUAC
rnacentral:rRNA from 1 species